rnacentral:rRNA from 1 species
ACGGGAGGCAGCAGUGGGGAAUAUUGCACAAUGGGGGGAACCCUGAUGCAGCAACGCCGCGUGAGCGAAGAAGGCCUUUGGGUCGUAAAGCUCUGUCCUAUGGGAAGAAGGAGUGACGGUACCAUAGGAGGAAGCCCCGGCUAACUACGUGCCAGCAGCCGCGGUAAUACGUAGGGGGCGAGCGUUAUCCGGAAUUAUUGGGCGUAAAGGGUACGUAGGCGGUAAAUUAAGCGUGGGGUGAAAGGCAAAGGCUUAGCCAUUGUAAGCCCUGCAAACUGAUAGACUUGAGUGCAGGAGAGGGAAGCGGAAUUCCUAGUGUAGCGGUGAAAUGCGUAGAUAUUAGGAGGAACACCAGUGGCGAAGGCGGCUUACUGGACUGUAACUGACGCUGAGGUACGAAAGUGUGGGGAGCAAACAGGAUUAGAUACCCUGGUA